ensembl:lncRNA
GACUUCUGGGAGGAUAUGUUUUUCUUUACAUGCCAAGAAGUCGUGUUCCCAUCUUCCUGCCAUGAAUGAGGUUGAGUGCUGAUGUGAUGCUUGGAGCUGUGGCAGACAUCCUGCAACCGUAAAGGUCCUUCUCCGACCUGAUCUCCCAUCUGGUACGGUGUGGCUUCUGGCUCCUAAUGCAGUCCCCCCAGGAGAAAGGAGGGAUAAGAGGAGGCAAUUUGCCUGUGCCUUCAUCUGUAUCUUUGUGAAGGUCUUCUACUCACAGAGGAAAGGAAUUGCUUUAGCUCCAUCACUGGAAUUGGAAGCUCCAAUACUUUGGCCACCAGAUGCAAAGAGCUGACUCAUUGGAAAUGACCCUGAAGCUGGGAAAGACUGAGGGCAGGAGGAGAAGCGGGUGGCAGAGGAUAAGAUGAUUGGAUGGUAUCACUGACUCAAUGGACAUGAGUUUGAACGAACUCUGGGAGAUAGUGAAGGGAAGCCUGGUGUGCUUUAGUCCAUGGGGUCGCAAAGAUUCAGAAAUGAGUUAGUGACUGAACAAUAACAACAAUCAUGGGGAUUAGAAAGGUUAAUAUUUUAUCACACCAAUACACUGAUCCC